UGUCGCACUUGGUUUCAGUAGAUGAUAAUGUAAUUAAAAUGUCAUUUGCCGUGGCAAACAAGUGAUACUCGUAUACAUUCAAUUAUCGGCGAGUGAAUUCGGUAAUGGAAUUUAAGCUACGUUCGAAUUCAAAUUCGAUGAUUUCUCGCAAAUAUUUAAUUAAAUUCAUUCGUUUCUCGCCGGUUGAGUGUAUAAUGAAAUAUUCCAUCCGCAGUUAUCAAUGCCGCCGGGAAAUGACUACCAACAGUCAGGCAAAUAAAAAUGUACAUAUAUAUACAAAUAAAUUCAAUCAGUUGACCGACCUCUGCCACUGUGCAGCCAACGUUUAAAUGAAGUAUACGCCACGGUGGCACAGCACAACCAUGUAUACUGAAGCGAAAAAUAAACAGAGAAACGGCAACAAUAAGCACUUUUAACUUUGAUGUUUGAUUUCGGAGCAAUUUGCAAAGUCAAACAGACCCAAACGCCGCAUUUCACCACCAAUGGACGACGAACAACGGCCACAAUGUUCCUCCAACGUCCGGGAAAGUUUCUUGCAGUAGUCGCCAUAAAGCGCACGCAGCCAGGAGGUUGAAAUUUAUGAAAUUUUAGGGACUCACGCAGACCAGACCAAGGUCCAAUAAAUCAUUUAAUAUGAUCCCGCAGGACGGCAGGCGAUUCAGGCGGUUGAAUCCUCGCAAAGCCAAAAGAGACAUGCGGAAGGUCAAAACCGGAGGGCCGGAAGAAAACCAAAGCGGCUGAGCAAAAUGGCUAAGUAAUAUUAAAAACGAAGAUGGCCCCCAAACGAAGCUCGGAUGCAC